CCUACGGGGGGCUGCAGUGGGGAAUAUUGCACAAUGGGCGAAAGCCUGAUGCAGCAACGCCGCGUGAGCGAUGAAGGUCUUCGGGUCGUAAAGCUCUGUCCUAAGGGAAGAAUACUGACGGUACCUUAGGAGGAAGCCCCGGCUAACUACGUGCCAGCAGCCGCGGUAAUACGUAUGGGGCGAGCGUUAUCCGGAAUCACUGGGCGUCAAGGGUGCGUAGGCGGCCCUGCAAGUCAGGAGUUAAAUCCCUCGGCUCAACCGAGGUAAGCCUUUGAAACUGUAGGGCUUGAGUGCAGGAGAGGAGAGUGGAAUCCCCAGUGUAGCGGUGAAAUGCGUAGAUAUUGGGAGGAACACCAGUUGCGAAGGCGGCUCUCUGGACUGUAACUGACGCUGAGGCACGAAAGCGUGGGGAGCGAACAGGAUUAGAUACCCUAGUAGUC
rnacentral:rRNA from 1 species